ACACAAACGAAGAACAUAAAUCGGGCAGCGACAACACGUAGAAAACAAGUUUGAAGUAAAAUCGGAACAGAUACGGCUCCCAAGUUUCACAUAUACGAAGAAGCUAAAAGAUUAUAUUGCUAUAGACACGGGACUAAAAGGUCCGCAUAAAGCGAUAUGGAAUACUACCCAAUUGAGGCAACCAAAAAAAACCUCCGACUAAAUACGGGUAGCUAUUCUAUUUGUCUGGCCCAAAUUCUUGAAUAUUCCUUCGUAUGAAGAUUGGUAAUAGCUCAGGAAAUUGGAAACAGGAAAAAUCACCGAAAAGAAUGUUAUCAGAAGGAAAUUAGCUUAUCAAGAAAAGAAUACAAGAAAGAAAGUUCGAAAACGGAAAAGCACUAACAGAAAAUUAGAGAGCAACCCACAACACAUAGAAGUCAAGGUGU